UCCCAUCUGAUUGGUGUUGGGGAAUCCCACCACCUGCUCCAUGCAUCACCCCAAGAAGUAAAUCAUGACAGUUGGACAAAGUUUCCUCUCUAUUUUUAUUUUUUAUUUUUUUGCUUCAUUCAUUAAAUUCAUAUAAAUUUAAUCCAAUAAAGAACUUUUAUCUCCACCUCCAAGCCUGGAUCCACUCUCAGUCACUUCAUCCCAGUCAAGGCUGAUGAAGAAAUUAAGCUGGUAUCUGAUGAACCGUCCUCCACUCUGUCACUUCAACCAACCAACUUGGCUCGGGGUGAAUAAAGGUCCACAUAAUUUUGAGUCACUAUCUACUAAAUUGUCAAGUAUUUUAUUGACUAAUAUUUUGUUUUUACAGUAAAUAAAAAAAUUACAAUUUAAAUAAAAAGAGAAUGGAUUAA